GGGUGCGUAGUUCAGUGGUAGAACGCGUUCCUGAUAAGAACGAGGCCGUAGGUCCGAUUCCUACCGCACCCA
rfam:Candidatus Yanofskybacteria bacterium RIFCSPHIGHO2_02_FTLL_39_10 rifcsphigho2_02_scaffold_15216, whole genome shotgun sequence.